rnacentral:rRNA from 1 species
GUUUUUGUGGAGAGUUUGAUCCUGGCUCAGGAUGAACGCUGGCGGCGUGCUUAACACAUGCAAGUCGAACGGAAAGGCCGAAGCUUGCUUCGGUACUCGAGUGGCGAACGGGUGAGUAACACGUGGGUGAUCUGCCCUGUACUUCGGGAUAAGCUUGGGAAACUGGGUCUAAUACCGGAUAUGACGAUCUCUUGGAUGGGGUUGUGGAAAGCUUUUGCGGUAUGGGAUGAGCUCGCGGCCUAUCAGCUUGUUGGUGGGGUAAUGGCCUACCAAGGCGUCGACGGGUAGCCGGCCUGAGAGGGUGUACGGCCACAUUGGGACUGAGAUACGGCCCAGACUCCUACGGGAGGCAGCAGUGGGGAAUAUUGCACAAUGGGCGCAAGCCUGAUGCAGCGACGCCGCGUGGGGGAUGACGGCCUUCGGGUUGUAAACUCCUUUCGCAACCGACGAAGCUUUUGUGACGGUAGGUUGAGAAGAAGCACCGGCUAACUACGUGCCAGCAGCCGCGGUAAUACGUAGGGUGCGAGCGUUGUCCGGAAUUACUGGGCGUAAAGAGCUCGUAGGUGGUUUGUCGCGUCGUUUGUGGAAUACCGCAGCUUAACUGCGGGGUUGCAGGCGAUACGGGCAUAACUUGAGUGCUGUAGGGGAGACUGGAAUUCCUGGUGUAGCGGUGGAAUGCGCAGAUAUCAGGAGGAACACCGAUGGCGAAGGCAGGUCUCUGGGCAGUAACUGACGCUGAGGAGCGAAAGCAUGGGGAGCGAACAGGAUUAGAUACCCUGGUAGUCCAUGCCGUAAACGGUGGGCGCUAGGUGUGAGUCCCUUCCACGGGGUUCGUGCCGUAGCUAACGCAUUAAGCGCCCCGCCUGGGGAGUACGGCCGCAAGGCUAAAACUCAAAGGAAUUGACGGGGGCCCGCACAAGCGGCGGAGCAUGUGGAUUAAUUCGAUGCAACGCGAAGAACCUUACCUGGGCUUGACAUACACCGGAUCGCUGCAGAGAUGUAGCUUCCCUUUGUGGCUGGUGUACAGGUGGUGCAUGGUUGUCGUCAGCUCGUGUCGUGAGAUGUUGGGUUAAGUCCCGCAACGAGCGCAACCCUUGUCUUAUGUUGCCAGCAUUUGGUUGGGGACUCAUGAGAGACUGCCGGGGUUAACUCGGAGGAAGGUGGGGAUGACGUCAAAUCAUCAUGCCCCUUAUGUCCAGGGCUUCACACAUGCUACAAUGGUCGGUACAACGCGUUUGCGAGCUCGUGAGGGUGGGCUAAUCGCUGAAAGCCGGUCGUAGUUCGGAUUGGGGUCUGCAACUCGACCCCAUGAAGUCGGAGUCGCUAGUAAUCGCAGAUCAGCAACGCUGCGGUGAAUACGUUCCCGGGCCUUGUACACACCGCCCGUCACGUCAUGAAAGUUGGUAACACCCGAAGCCCAUGGCCCAAACKUGUUAGGGAGUGGUCGAAGGUGGGAUCGGCGAUUGGGACGAAGUCGUAACAAGGUAGCCGUACCGGAAGGUGCGGCUGGAUCACCUCCUUUCUAAGGAG